GUAGGGAAUAUUGCGCAAUGGACGAAAGUCUGACGCAGCGACGCCGCGUGAGUGAUGAAGGCCUUAGGGUCGUAAAGCUCUGUUGAAUGGGAAGAAAAAAAUGACGGUACCAUUCGAGGAAGGACCGGCUAACUUCGUGCCAGCAGCCGCGGUAAUACGAGGGGUCCUAGCGUUGUUCGGAAUCAUUGGGCGUAAAGGGUGUGUAGGUGGCCAUGUAAGUCAGGUGUGAAAGCCCCGGGCUCAACCCGGGAAGUGCACUUGAUACUGCGUGGCUUGAGUACCGAAGAGGGUAGUGGAAUUCCAGGUGUAGUGGUGAAAUACGUAGAUAUCUGGAGGAACACCGGUGGCGAAGGCGGCUACCUGGUCGAGUACUGACACUGAGACACGAAAGCAUGGGGAUCAAACAGGAUUAGAAACACGGGUAGUCC
rnacentral:rRNA from 1 species